rnacentral:rRNA from 1 species
AUUGAACGCUGGCGGCAUGCCUAACACAUGCAAGUCGAACGGUAACAGGUAUCUGGCUGCUGAAGUCAGGGGCACGGGUGAGAAUAAUGCCGGAACGUGCCCCUGCGAGGGGGGUAACACGGCGGAAGCUGUGCUCUAAUAGCGCAUGCGCCCUGGGUGAAAGAGGGGGAGCGCUUGGCACCGCGCGCUAGGAGCGGACGAUGGCUGAUUAGGUAGUUGGUGGGAUAAAAGCGUACCAAGGCGACGAUCUGUAACUGGUCUGAGAGGACGACCAGUCACACUGGGACUGAGACACGGCCCAGACUCCUACGGGAGGCAGCAGUGGGGAAUUUUGGACAAUGGGCGAAAGCCUGAUCCAGCAAUGCCGCGUGCAGGAUGAAGGCCUUCGGGUUGUAAACUGCUUUUGUACGGGACGAAAAGGCGCUAGCUAAUACCUGGCGCACAUGACGGUACCGUAAGAAUAAGCACCGGCUAACUACGUG